ACGACUGCUAAUACCGAAUAAGUUCCAAGAGCCGCAUGGCCCAUGGAAGAAAAGGUGGCCUCUACCUGUAAGCUAUCGCCUGAAGAGGGGUUUGCGUCUGAUUAGCUGGUUGGAGGGGUAACGGCCCACCAAGGCGACGAUCAGUAGCCGGUCUGAGAGGAUGAACGGCCACACUGGAACUGAGACACGGUCCAGACUCCUACGGGAGGCAGCAGUGGGGAAUCUUCCGCAAUGGGCGAAAGCCUGACGGAGCAACGCCGCGUGAGUGAUGACGGCCUUCGGGUUGUAAAACUCUGUGAUCCUUUUUUAAAAGGCAGAGUGCGAAGAACAAACUGCAUUGACGGUACCGGAAAAGCAAGCCACGGCUAACUACGUGCCAGCAGCCGCGGUAAUACGUAGGUGGCAAGCGUUGUCCGGAAUUAUUGGGCGUAAAGCGCGCGCAGGCGGCUUCCCAAGUCCCUCUUAAAAGUGCGGGGCUUAACCCCGUGAUGGGAAGGAAACUGGGAAGCUGGA
rnacentral:rRNA from 1 species